rnacentral:lncRNA from 1 species
AGACCCAUCUAGACAUCUGUGUACCACAGAUAGAGACUAAUAUAGUGAGUAUGAAAGGCUUUGGUGUGAGGAAAACUGAUGGUAUUUUGUGUGACUGAACUGUGUGUGAUGAAUCUUCAAAUACAGGAUGCCGAGAAGGGAUGCAGAAUGAGUUCAGAACUGUUACCAUCAUGAAGCCAUCAGUGACAUUGGAGCCAGAACUGAGGCUUCAUAUUACUGGCUUGCGCAAUGAUUACUAUCUAAACAUACUGGACUGGAACCUUGAAAAUCUCAUUGCUGUAGCUCUAGGAUCUGCUGCAUACAUUUGGAAUGGAAGAACUCUUCAAGGCAUUGAAAGCAUUGAAUUAAAUUCCAGUUCCAAAUACAUUUCAUCUCUAGCUUGGAUAAAAGAAGGAACUUGCCUUGCUGUUGGCACUAGUGAUGGAGAAGU